rnacentral:rRNA from 1 species
UACGGAGGGGGCUAGCGUUGUUCGGAAUUACUGGGCGUAAAGCGCGCGUAGGCGGACCUGCAAGUCGGGGGUGAAAGCCCGAGGCUCAACCUCGGAACUGCCUUCGAUACUGCGGGUCUCGAGUCCGGGAGAGGUGAGUGGAAUUCCUAGUGUAGAGGUGAAAUUCGUAGAUAUUAGGAAGAACACCAGUGGCGAAGGCGGCUCACUGGCCCGGUACUGACGCUGAGAUACGAAAGCGUGGGGAGCAAACAGG